rnacentral:rRNA from 1 species
CUACGGGAGGCACCAGUGGGGAAUAUUGCACAAUGGGCGCAAGCCUGAUGCAGCAACGCCGCGUGAGGGAUGAAGGCCUUCGGGUUGUAAACCUCUUUUAGCAGGGAAGAAGCGAAAGUGACGGUACCUGCAGAAAAAGCACCGGCUAACUACGUGCCAGCAGCCGCGGUAAUACGGAGGGUGCGAGCGUUAUCCGGAAUCAUUGGGCGUAAAGCGUCCGCAGGUGGUGUGUUAAGUCAGAUAUUAAAGCCAACGGCUCAACCGUUGUAUAGUAUCUGAUACUGGCACGCUAGAGUAUCAUAGAGGUAAGCGGAAUUCUGCAUGUAGGGGUAAUAUCCGUUGAUAUGCAGAGGAACACCAAAAGCGAAAGCAGCUUACUGGAUGGUUACUGACACUCAUGGACGAAAGCGUGGGGAGCAAAAAGGAUUAGAUACCCCUGUAGUC